UUGAACGCUGGCGGCAUGCCUUACACAUGCAAGUCGAACGGUAGAGGGGCAACCCUUGAGAGUGGCGAACGGGUGAGUAAUAUAUCGGAACGUGCCCAGUCGUGGGGGAUAACGCAGCGAAAGCUGCGCUAAUACCGCAUACGAUCUAUGGAUGAAAGCGGGGGAUCGCAAGACCUCGCGCGAUUGGAGCGGCCGAUAUCAGAUUAGGUAGUUGGUGGGGUAAAAGCCCCACCAAGCCGACGAUCUGUAGCUG
rnacentral:rRNA from 1 species